GAAAUGCGAUAAGUAAUGUGAAUUGCAGAAUUCAGUGAAUCAUCGAAUCUUUGAACGCACCUUGCGCUCCUUGGUAUUCCUUGGAGCAUGCCUGUUUGAUUAUCAUGAAAUCUUCAAAGUAAAUCUUUUGUUAACUCAAUUGGUUUCUACUUUGGUAUUGGAGGUCUUUGCAGCUUCACACCUGCUCCUCUUUGUUCAUUAGCUGGAUCUCAGUGUUAUGCUUGGUUCCACUCGGCGUGAUAAGUUAUCUAUCGCUGAGGACACUGUAAAAGGUGGCCAAGGUAAAUGCAGAUGAACCGCUUCUAAUAGUCCAUUGACUUGGACAAUACUUUUAUGAUCUGAUCUCAAAUCAGGUAGGACUACCCGCUGAACUUAAGC
rnacentral:misc_RNA from 1 species